rnacentral:lncRNA from 1 species
CCAUACAUACACAUAGAAACAACAAAAAAAACAAAAUAAAAGAACAAAAGGUUGCGUCAAAUAGGUCCAGUUCAGCAUUAUGCCAGACAGCUAGUGUCUGACGCUGGUUUUCAACUGGACCUAUGCGGAGUUGCGGAUGUCCAUCGGUAUGAACUGAUUUAUGCUCUAUAGAAAAAAAUAAUAAAACUACUAAACUAUGUACUAUUUAAAAAAGAAAAAAAAAGAAACGUAAAUCAUAAUCAGAAGGAUUAGUCACAAAAAUUAAAUAAAAAUAAAAAGUGGAGGUAAACGUAAAUAAAUUCAUACCGUGACUAAUCGCAAUCCUGAGGAAGCAUCGCUCAGUGACGAUUUUAUUUCACACAGAUGAAAUGUUACAGUGUGCACACAUUCAAAGAGCCGUAACUGGUUGCAACCUCUGUUAUCAUUGCUCAGCGUGCCACCGAUCAUUGCCGACAUAUAUUAAUGAAGAACACAGACAAGCAAUUAUAAAUUGUGAAAUUGUGCAAAAUCAUAAAACAGUUUUUUUUUGUUAGUUGCCAGCAGUCCACAUUGGGUACCUACCCUACGUUCUUGAGAGAAAAAAAAGUAUAUUUGGUAAUAAUAGCAUUCAGGCGAAGGUACAUAAGAUAUUUGCAAGUGCAAAGUCUACUUCCCUGUACAGAAAUGAUCACCGUGCACCACGUACACGCCGUAGGGUGCACCUAUUUCCAGAAGGCCAUACCCACAAGGCCUCCAGACAUGGCGCACCCAUAACGCAUCAUGGCCGGUGACCCGAGAGAGACCAGGAGUACUCAAUUUAAGCUGUGAGAAUACACUACCCACAUUACAUACACAUUAGCCUCACGCAUUGUCAUAAAACUACAAUAGUAUGCUAAGUGGGCGAUAUAAAUAAGAUUUAAAUCCAUUUCUUAUUGAUAUAAUUUAAAAUUUAGAUAAUAGAAAUAUUUGCCUUCGUCAUAUCAAGCUUCCGUUGCGCAUCUACCAGGUACUGCCGUAAACGUCUCUUAAAGCUAUCGAGUGUGUUCAUAACCCUAAUAGGUGGUGGAAUAUUGUUCCACACUUUCGCUGCUGCAUAUCGGAAACUUCCUCUAAACGCCGUGGUUCUAUGUGGCUGGAUACAAAGUUGUUUCGAGCAUUGUCUUCUAGCGCAUGUACGGCUGUCAUUAAUCCAACUCAGCUUACCAAAUAAGUAAGUUGGCUGUUGGUACUUAAUGACACCAAAGAGAAGACAUGCUAAAUGCAGCUUACGUCUUGAUUUCAUUUUGAGCAUGGCGUUUUUGUUGAGGAAUGGCGUGACAUGACCUCUUGGGGGAAUCUUGUAACAGAAGCGCGCACAGGCAUUUUGCACUCUCUGUAUGAGUCGCUCGGUGCGAGCUAAUAGACGCGGCCCGUAGACUGUGUCGACGUAGUUUAAUUUAGACAGAACAAGCGAUUCGACGAGUUGUUCGCGAAUCGUCUCUGACAGAAAAGGUCUGAUUUUAUAAAGAAUUUUCAGACGAUAGAAGCAGUUCUGUACCGAAGUAGCCACGUGCUUUUCGAAUCGCAAACUACUGUCCAUAUUUAAACCAAGAUUACGCGCCUCGUCUACUCGCUCAAUGGGUUCACCCAUCAGUUGAAGAUUGAGUGUUGGUGGAAGUCUUUUCAACUGCUGCUUUGUGCCAAAUACCAUAUAUUUUGUUUUGGCC